UUAAUUACAAAGAGGUAGCUCUAUAAUUGAAAUUGUGUGUCACUUUUUGUGAAGUGUGUUUAAACAAGAAAAAAUAGGAGACAUCUAAGUACUUAUUCAUGCAGUUUCUGUUAUGUUAGAAAAUAACUGGAAAAUGUCAGCAGCAUUAUUUGAGGAGAAAAGGUUGGCCAGUCCCAACAUCCUAGUUGACGUUCUCUCUCACAGUAAAAUGUGUACAUAUACCCACAGCUGCUCAAGAUUUAAGGGUGAUGGAUGAUUUGUUGCUUUUAAAAGCGCAUUAUAACCGGGAUGAGACAAACAGGAGGGCACCGGACACUGAAGUCUGAGGCCUAACAAUCACGUAGCUGUUAUUGCGGUGAAAAUCUUCCAAUGCAUUUCUUUAUAGGCAAGGACAUUCCUUGACAGUCUGGGUCUGUGUGAGGUCUCGUAUGGUCAUUGGUGUGGAUGCUGGUGGCUCCUUGAAGGAAAGUCCAGUGGCUGGGACGGAUGCAGUGCAGGACACGAUGAUGUUGAUCCUCUCUGGGGUGAAUCUGGAACCAUCUCCCUGCAUGCUGUUGGGCAGCCCCCUGCUGAGGGCUCAGCCUCACACACGAGGUAAUAAACCCAAUGACUUUAUCAAAGAAGAAGAAGGUUUUGUUCCAAGAAUUACCACAGAUGUAUUCCUUUAAAACUCUGGGAUGUGCUUUCAGCAUUCACUCCGAUCAACCACGUGUUCAGACACUUUUCUUCACAUAGCUCUUCAUCGAUUAUUAGCGUGUUCCCUACAGGCUAAAGGCAAGUGGUCUCUAAAUCCGGUCCCUCCUGCCUCCCCAUUGCUCCCCCUCCUCAUUUUGUCAUCACUCUCUGCUCCCUGAUUUCUUGUCUGGCCAGUCCCAGUUUCACCAGUCACUUUGUCAAGAUCUGUUCCUUUCCCUGCCCAGCUCCGUCCACCCGGACCCAAGUGGCUCCUUCCUCACACAGCCUGUGUGAAAGCAGUGCAAGUCACUGACAACACAGAAAUGAUGUUGCUUUUUUCUCUGCAUGUUAAGAACAAGUAUUACUGGGAAAGCUCAACUUCACCUGCAUAUGUUUGAUUGGAAAAAGCAUGCUGUAUGGAACGAUAUAGUAAAACAGGAGACUGGAAGCACAGGAGAAUACUCUGUGGUGCAGGAGAUGGUACUUGUUUAUCUGUAGGCACACAGGAGCUGGAGGUAGGUGGAGCAUACUCUACUAGCAAAGUGAAUGAUGCUGAAAAGAUAUUUUGUGAGACUUAAAUUUAAAACAGAAAUAAUAACCAAUCUUCACAUACUCAUAGCUUUCUGAAAAUUUAAGUUCCUGAAUACUUUAUCACUUGGUUACAGAAAGCUCUGCAUAAGUUAAAGUCAGCAAAUAGUACCCGAUGUUGUGAAAACCACAAAGAUAGUUGCAUCUUCUACAGAUAUUUAUCAGAAAGUAACCUGAAAACUUGACACUAAAGAGAGUGAUAUUUUUUUUCUUGAAUGUCUUUAGAAUUUUUCAAUCAUAUUUUUAGUCUUAUGUGAGAAAGGAAUAAAGGACUCAUUGUAAAAGAAGGAAAGAAUCUC
rnacentral:lncRNA from 1 species